rnacentral:rRNA from 1 species
CAGGGGGAGCUUGCUCCCCGCUGACGAGCGGCGGACGGGUGAGUAAUGCAUAUGAAACUGCCCACUAUUGGGGGAUAGCCCGGGGAAACCCGGAUUAAUACCGCAUACGCCCUUCGGGGGAAAGCAGGGGAUCUUCGGACCUUGCGCUAUUGGAUGUGCCUAUGUCGGAUUAGCUAGUUGGUGGGGUAAGAGCCUACCACGGCGACGAUCCGUAGCUGGUCUGAGAGGAUGAUCACCCACAUCGGGACUGAGACACGGCCCGAACUCCUACGGGAGGCAGCAGUGGGGAAUAUUGGACAAUGGGGGCAACCCUGAUCCAGCCAUGCCGCGUGUGUGAAGAAGGCUUUCGGGUUGUAAAGCACUUUCUGUGAGGAGGAAAACCUUAAGUUUAAUACGCUUGAGGCUUGACGUUACUCACAGAAGAAGCACCGGCUAACUCCGUGCCACCACCCGCGGUAAUACGGAGGGUGCGAGCGUUAAUCGGAAUUACUGGGCGUAAAGCGCGCGUAGGUGGUUUGAUAAGCGAGAUGUGAAAGCCCCGGGCUCAACCUGGGAACGGCAUUUCGAACUGUCAGGCUAGAGUAUGGUAGAGGAGUGUGGAAUUUCCUGUGUAGCGGUGAAAUGCGUAUAUAUAGGAAAGAGCACCACUGGCGAAAGCGGCACUCUGGACCUAUACUGACACUGAGGUGCGAAAGCGUGGGGAGCAAACAGGAUUACAUACCCUGGUA